rnacentral:rRNA from 1 species
UACGUAGGGUCCGAGCGUUGUCCGGAGUUACUGGGACGUAAGCGCGCGCAGGCGGCUCGGCAAGCAUGGACGUGAAAGCCCCCGGCUCAACCGGGGAGAGUCGUCGUGGACUGUCGAGCUUGAGGGCGGUAGGGGUUGGUGGAAUUCCCGGUGUAGUGGUGAAAGUGCGAUUAGAGAUCGGGAGGAACACCCGUGGCGAAGGCGGCCAACUGGGCCGACCCUGACGCUGAGGCGCGAAGGCGUGGGGAGCGAACGGG